rnacentral:lncRNA from 1 species
GAUAACCAGUUGCAAACGGUCAGAAAAAUGGACAUACAAACUAGAAGAAUAGAAGUUACAGGUAGAAUAGUAAAGCAUUGGGUGGGAAGCACAUGCUCCAUGAUUCUGAAUAGUAAAGCAUUGGGUGAAAGAUAAAACUCAUAGAAAGAAGGGAAUGUCUUCUGCAGUUUAGUUUAAUCUGAUAGAAAAAAAAAUUACUCUAUCAGCGAACACUGAAUAGAAAUAUGCUCUUUUCGUGAUAAACGUGCCAAAACAUUAAACGCCAAUGGUAAUAAGGAUUGACAAUAUUACCUUUGAUUAUUAUUGUUGGACACAAAAAUCAUGUAGACUACAUAUAUUGUUGUGUUUUUAUCAGUCACGAGAAAAAAUCUAAGGGCUCGUUGGUCACCGGGAGUUAUAUGAAAAUCUGAAUUUAAAUUCGAUCAGACCAUGACAUAACAGAAUCAAUUACUGGAAACUAAUAAACUAAAAAAAACAGAGCAUAUAUUUCUAUGCCACAAUCCUCUUUAGUUCAUUUAUGGAAUAAUUCAUUAAAUAAUGAGAGCAAUCAACAUAUAUUGUUAUGCUAGCAUGAGGAUGCACAAAUCCGACAAAAGAAUCAUACAAAAUAAGUAAUGAAAUCACGAUUUAUCCAGAGUUCAAUUCCUCUUAACUUAAACAGAAUGAGUUCAUGAACAAGUGAAAUUCAGUAGGAACCAUACACAAUUAAAUUUAACUGUGUAUAAAAUUGUGCUAACCUUUCUUCAAAGAACAACUAAACAUGAUUCAUAAAGCGAGUUUCCCAUAAAUCUUUAUGCACUUUGAAGUAAGAACAACAAGCAAAUUGGACCGAAAGCCAAAUAAAUGCAAGAUGCUUCAAAUUAGAGCCCAGUAUAGCAAGAAAAUAAAUCCUUUAGCAGCAGUGACAGUACUGCGAUCCACGGCUCAAAAUGAUUCUCAGAAACCUCAAGAAGAAGGAAGUCGAACUCCAUUUUUAAGAGUCAAAAUCAAGGAGGAAGGAGCUGGAAUUUUGCAUUCUAGCGAGUGAAGGAGUGGAUAAUAGGGAAAGUUGCGCUCGAAAAAAAGGGGGAGGGGAUCUUUUGAUUCUUUGAUGUUAAAGAGAGAGAGCGAGAGACGCGCUAUUCUUUUUUAUUUUGCAGAGCUCCCCUCUAUUGAAGGUGAGUGCCAUUUUUUGCGUGUCUAAAAGAGAGAGGGGUCC